AGGGAGUUUAAGCUCUAGCUUCAGCCUGAUGUUUUUAACCAACUAGGCCCGCCAACCCACAAGCAGAUAGAAAAUAAGCUGAUUCUAUAGGACAGAAAAAGGAAGAGGGCAGGGGUCAUAAGGGGAUGUAAGCAUAAGAUACCCAAGCCAGAAACAGCAACCCUUCCAGGUCCCCUUCCCCCACGUGGAAGCUUUCCUUUCACUUUCGCUUUAAUAAAUCUUGCCGCAGCACACUCUCUAAUCGAGCUGUAACACUCGCCACUGCCGUCCACGGCUUCAUUCCUUGAAGCCGUGAGACCACGAACCCUUCGAUUGAGAAGAACCUUCGGUCGGAAGAAGACUUCUCGUCUCAGUAACAAUAACAAGAAAAACAGCCUAGACUAGACGCACAUCAGGAAGACAGGUAGUAACAAAAUAUUUUGUUGUUUGUACUUUUAGUGUUGUCUCUAAGACAGCUUUGCCUAACCCAGGCAACAAAAAUUUAAUCCUAUACUUUCAUCUAAGAGUAUUACAAUUUUAACUCUUUAAUUGAGGUCUGUGGAUCAUUUGGAGUUAAUUUUUGUGUGUGGUGUAAGGAAGGGAUCCAAAACAUACUUGUCAGCAGCAGUUGUGGAAAAGACUAUUUUUCCUAUUUUUUUCCUCAUUCAACUGUCUGGAAUUUUUGUUGAAUAUCAAUUGACUAUAAAUGUAA
rnacentral:lncRNA from 1 species